rnacentral:misc_RNA from 1 species
AAGUCGUAACAAGGUUUCCGUAGGUGAACCUGCGGAAGGAUCAUUAUCGUUUGGGGCUUCGGCCCCAAUUCGAGAUAAACACCCUUGCCCUUUUUUGAGUACCUUUUUCGUUUCCUCGGCAGGCUCCUGCCAACGGGGACCCUUCAAAACCGCUUUGUAAUACCUGUAAUCGUCUGAUAUAACAAGCAAAAAUUCAAAA